rnacentral:lncRNA from 1 species
ACCAAGUUAUUUAAGUUCUCCCAACUUGAGAGAAGAAGAACAAUGAUUAGGAAAGGAAAGUCCAAGAACAAGAAAUAUGGAUACAAUUCCUACUUAGCAUAGGAGUCCUAAUUCAAGUAAUAAAAAAGAAUAUUAGAAAAUCUCAUGAUGGAUAAUUUAUUUGAAGAUGGUUGCCGCAAUUAUCUAAAGUCUCUCAUUUAAAAUAUUAAGUAGGAACGGGUCAUAGGCAAGCC